AAGCUCAUAAGUUAAGCAUCUGUGAUAUACGCUAAUAAACUAAUCAGCCUCACCCAGAAUGCUUUUGUGAAAGGGAGGAACAUCAUGGAUGGAGUGCUCUCAGUCCAAGAGAUUCUCAACUAUACACAUGUCAAGAAAAAAGUGGGAAUUGUUCUUAAACUUGAUUUCGAAAAAGCCUAUGACAAAGUAAACUGGGAUUUCCUUCUUGAAUGUCACAAAAUGCGCGGCUUCAAUGAAACCUGGUGUGGAUGGAUUAAACAAAUCCUAUACGAAGGGACAGUUAGCAUCAAGUUGAAUAACUUUACGGGCCCAUACUUCCAAAGUGCUAAAGGGGUCCGCCAAGGGGACCCCCAUUCUCCUUUUCGGUUCAACUUGGUUGUGGAAUGCCUCACCAAAAUGAUCAAAAACGCCCAGAAAAAUAAGUUGAUCACGGGUUAA
rnacentral:rRNA from 1 species